rnacentral:rRNA from 1 species
UACGUAGGGUGCAAGCGAUAAUCGGAAUUACUGGGCGUAAAGCGUGCGCAGGCGGUUUUGUAAGUCUGACGUGAAAUCCCCGGGCUCAACCUGGGAAUUGCGUUGGAGACUGCAAGGCUAGAAUCUGGCAGAGGGGGGUAGAAUUCCACGUGUAGCAGUGAAAUGCGUAGAGAUGUGGAGGAACACCGAUGGCGAAGGCAGCCCCCUGGGUCAAGAUUGACGCUCAUGCACGAAAGCGUGGGGAGCAAACAGG